GACGAACGCUGGCGGCGUGCCUAAUACAUGCAAGUUGAGCGAUGAAGAUUGGUGCUUGCACCAAUUUGAAGAGCAGCGAACGGGUGAGUAACGCGUGGGGAAUCUGCCUUUGAGCGGGGGACAACAUUUGGAAACGAAUGCUAAUACCGCAUAAUAACUUUAAACAUAAGUUUUAAGUUUGAAAGAUGCAAUUGCAUCACUCAAAGAUGAUCCCGCGUUGUAUUAGCUAGUUGGUGAGGUAAAGGCUCACCAAGGCGAUGAUACAUAGCCGACCUGAGAGGGUGAUCGGCCACAUUGGGACUGGGACACGGCCCAAACUCCUACGGGGGGCAGCAGUAGGGAAUCUUCGGCAAUGGACGAAAGUCUGGCCGAGCAACGCCGCGUGAGUGAAGAAGGUUUUCGGAUCGUAAAACUCUGUUGGUAGAGAAGAACGUUGGUGAGAGUGGAAAGCUCAUCAAGUGACGGUAACUACCCAGAAAGGGACGGCUAACUACGUG
rnacentral:rRNA from 1 species